ACUGCUCAGAUUGUUCCUAUAGGUUAUACUGUUCCUAUAGGUUAUACUGUUCCUAAAGGUUAUACUGUUCCUAUAGGUUAUACUGUUCCUAUAGGUUAUACUGUUCCUAAAGGUUAUACUGUUCC